UUCACAGCCACUUCCUCUCCAGUUUGUACAUUUGUACCCAAAUAAAGUUCUCCAAAUGAUCCGCUGCCGAUCUUCCUUCCAAGCUUAAACUUCCCACCUAUAAUAUGCUCCAUGACCUAAUUUACCAAUCCACCAAGCUCGCCUAUUAUAUAUCAAUCGACUCAAAAUUUAGUCCACCAUACACAAAUGGCAAAAAAAUGUUUCCCCGUCGGACAAUUCCGUUCUCAAUCCAGG
rnacentral:misc_RNA from 1 species